rnacentral:rRNA from 1 species
AUUGAACGCUGGCGGCAUGCCUUACACAUGCAAGUCGAACGGCAGCACGGGAGCAAUCCUGGUGGCGAGUGGCGAACGGGUGAGUAAUAUAUCGGAACGUGCCCAGUCGUGGGGGAUAACGUAGCGAAAGCUACGCUAAUACCGCAUACGAUCUAUGGAUGAAAGCGGGGGAUCGCAAGACCUCGCGCGAUUGGAGCGGCCGAUAUCAGAUUAGGUAGUUGGUGGGGUAAAGGCCUACCAAGCCUUCGAUCUGUAGCUGGUCUGAGAGGACGACCAGCCACACUGGGAACUGAGACACGGGUCCAGACUCCUACGGGAGGCAGCAGUGGGGAAUUUUUGGGACAAUGGGCGCAAGCCUGAUCCAGCAAUGCCGCGUGCAGGGAUGAAGGCCUUCGGGUUGUAAACUGCUUUUUGUACGG